UUUAACUGCUAGAGUGCGAACCAAGCGUAUCCACUUUACCGCAAACAAUCAAAUACUUUCCGCUCCCAUGACAAAGUAUACAAGCAAGUGAAUAGUAGCGCGCGAACUUCAAUACUAUUCAGUAAAAACAACCAAACAAAUACGCCAUUUUUGAGCCGAACUACGAAGCUCUGACUUCCUUAUUACACGUAUGGGGAUACGUAGGCACGAGGGCCCAAAUCCUUGGCGAGCACACUAACUUAAAACUUAUCUUCU
rnacentral:lncRNA from 1 species